GUGGGGAAUUUUGGACAAUGGGCGCAAGCCUGAUCCAGCAAUGCCGCGUGCAGGAAGAAGGCCUUCGGGUUGUAAACUGCUUUUGUACGGAACGAAAAAGCUCUCUCUAAUACAGGGGGUGAAUGACGGUACCGUAAGAAUAAGCACCGGCUAACUACGUGCCAGCAGCCGCGGUAAUACGUAGGGUGCAAGCGUUAAUCGGCAUUACUGGGCGUAAAGCGUGCGCAGGCGGUUAUGUAAGACAGAGGUGAAAUCCCCGGGCUCAACCUGGGAACUGCCUUUGUGACUGCAUAGCUGGAGUGCGGCAGAGGGGGAUGGAAUUCCGCGUGUAGCAGUGAAAUGCGUAGAUAUGCGGAGGAACACCGAUGGCGAAGGCAAUCCCCUGGGCCUGCACUGACGCUCAUGCACGAAAGCGUGGGGAGCAAACAGGAUUAGAUACCCCGGUAGUCC
rnacentral:rRNA from 1 species